rnacentral:sRNA from 1 species
UGAGAAGGAAAUAAAAUGAGCGAAGUUCAUUUUUUUAGAUGUUUCCGACGAUUAGCCGCCAACUGAAGGGAAGGGGCAGUA